GAGGGAUAGUUAGGGGAUGAACCCCUCCAUAGUGCCAGCUCUCAAAGUCUCAAAUAGUGAAUUUGGAAGCGUGAAAAAACAGUUAAAUCUAUACAAUUAUCUCAUGUUUUUCUUUUCUUUCUCCCUCUUCACCAAUUUUUCCUUUUAUAUCCAUUUUGUGAUUAGGUCUGGAUACAGGUUUGUUUGAUUUUCGAUUUGAAGAAAUGGUUUGUGAUCUUGAUUCUUGGUUGAUUAAUUAGAUCAUGGUAUGGAUUUGUUUCAUUUUCGAUUUCGACAAAUGGGUUUGUGAUCGUGGUUGAUUCUAAAGUCUAAAUCUAAGAGAGUGGAAAUAAGAAUGUGGGUGUGACUCAGUUGAGUCAGUGAGUUAGUAACUGAGCCGAAACGGUGGGGGCAUGUAAAGGGGCGGGUGGAAAUAACUUCUUCUUCUCGGUUUAUCGACAUAUUCUGUUCUCUGUAUUUUUUCAUUCCAUUCCUCUCUGUAAAUUCAGUUUUCUUCUAUCCGAACAGACAUGAAUAUUUAGUCAUUUAACUUUUAAACCCUUUUAAGGUUUGUUUGUAUCAUAUUAAGUUAUGAAAGCGUCGAUUUGAUUAGUUUCUCAGAAUUGGCUUUUUUUCUUUUUGUAUUUUAGAUGAACACGAUCAUGAAAUCGAUCGAUUCUAAUCGAAUGAAUCUAUUUUUUUAUGUAAUUUGGCGACGUAAUUUGUUUGUUUAACUUCAUUUGAUCGAAAUCCAUCAUCAAUCUAAUCAAUUAUGUCGAUCUGUUUAUGAAUUUCCAGAAAUUAAAUUUUGUUUUUGUUUUUUUUGCACAAAGUUUGUGACGGACAUUUUUGUUUUUUUUUUCAAUACAUAGGGACUCCUCCCUUUGGUCGUCGUCCAAUAAUGAUAGUGGUAUUGUAAUCUCUUCUUCCAAGGGUCAAGCAUAUUAACACUUCGUGGUGUUCACUUAGAAUUCAAUUUUCUAUUCUAGUGUUGACUCAAUCUUCUUUCUUUUUGUUACAUCAAUUCCGUUUCAAAUCUCUACUUAUCUAUUUUCUCCUUCCUAAUCAAAUCCUUUAUUUAUUUCUCUCACUAAAUUAGGUCUUUUUUUUUUUUGAAGCAUUUGCAGCAUCAGAUAAAAAAAAAUCUUUGAAGUUUGAAGACGCCAAUUUGGAUUUUAUUGCACCUAAAUGGAUUCACAAUCUGGGUUCUAUAUCUUGCUUCGGUUUAUUUUGUAUGAAUUGAUUCCCUUUCAUGUUUUUCUUGUCUUUUUCUCUGAGAUUCCGUAAAAAUGAGCGCUAGAGGUGGGGUUAGAGAGUGUGCUUGGAUUUUAUGAUAGUGAAAUCCAUGAAGAUGGAUGAAAGUGAAGCACCAUACAUUUUAAAUGAUGUUUGAAAUGCUUGGAUGGUGUUAUCUACGUUGGCCCCCUUACUCAAACAUGGAGGGAUGUGAGUUUGACCGAAUGCACAACAUCUCAAACCAAGAGGGAGAAUUUAGUGUGGAACCAACACAACAGCCUGCCUGUGUUCAUAGUCCAUCAACAUUGGAGAUUCGAUAUGUCUAAGGAAAUGGUUGUAUCAUGGUUUGGUUUUUGUCGUGUUGACUUCCCUGUUUUUUUCUUUUUACAGAUUUAAGAAUUGGUCUAUAGACACCACUGUAUGGUACACGUUGGACAUAUGCUGCCAAGAUUUCUUAUAUAUUUACCUUGACACUUCCAUUAUUUCAAAAUCCACUUACCACUUACGAAAGAAGCACUUAGGUUUACUGAAGUAAUGAGCGAAGCUGGUCCUGUCAAAGGUGGCAGUGUUGUAAUUGCGUUUAUUGAAGAUCCAGACGGUUACAAGUUUGAUCUUUAGAGAGGGACCUACACCAGAGCUCAUGCCAAGUAAUGCUUCGUGUAGGUGAUCUUAACCACGCCCUAAAUUACUAUGAGAAGGUAAGGUUUGUUCGUUAAGGACAUGAUACCAUUUUGAAGUUAUCGUUUGACCGCGCUGUAAUUUAUUAGUACAUAUUUAUGCAUCUUUUAAUAGGAGUGUGUAUUUCUCCCUUUUACAUCGACUUCGGUGAGAUGUUCCAGACUCAAGUGUUAUGAAAACAGAUGAAUCAUCUGUUGGUUUGCAAUAUGUGUGGAAGUAGAUGUGAGUUUUAUUUUUCUGAUGUAGAUAUUUUGUUACUUUUUAGCCGCUGGCCGUUUAUGUGUGGAAGAAUGCUUCUGGGCUGUUGAUUACCAGUGGGAUGGUGAUCAAUUUGCAACAGCUGGUGCUCAAGUUGAUAUAUGGGAUCACAGUCAGAGCCCAUUUAAUUCUGGUGAACCAAAUAUUUUAUCCACAUCUAGCAGCAUUACCUUAUAUGAUCGGUUGUCAACUCCAGUGAGGAAGCUGAUUAUGCAGUACAACACUUCGGUGGAAGGAUGGUCAACAAUUUGAGUCAUGGGGAGGCUCAUAAGUCGGCAGUACAAGCAGCUAUCAAGCUACCAACAUGCAAACUUAUUGUACUGCGUCAACUAAAAGUUUGACAUUGCGACUCCAAAAAACAUGGACUAUUACUGGGUGUACCAAAUUGAAAGAUGCUUGCUAAGAAAUCCAACUCUUUACCUUUAGCCAAAUGAAUGAAGCUUUCACUUACGUACAGAAAGCACAGGGCAUACGUAUUUCUUCCUUCCAUUCCAUUAGCACGAGUACUAAGGAUCUCUGUGAUGGAAGAACUUAAAGUUAAUUGGAGCAGACGUAUCCAUACUUGCCCUAUUCUGUGCAAUGAAAGAUUUCAUGUAUUUUAGCUCAAGUAAACAAUAUGGGCAAGUACUUCAUUUAUUUGUAUAUCAGUUGUUGUUUUUUUGCCUUCAGAAUCCAACAAUGAUGAGUUCAUUUUCCCUUUAAAACAUUUUGUGAGAUUCCUUGAUGUAAUGUUAAAUUAAUAGAUAUAACAAAAUAACAGUUCUUGUUGUG